CAUGUCUGUUUCUCUUUCUCUCUCCCUCUCUUGCGCUCUCCCUCAUUCAUUCACUCUUCCAUCUUUUUGCCAUUGUGCCAGCUUAAUUUAAAUGUAUCUGCUCUGUAUCUGUUCAAGUGGAGAUAAUCCAUGCAAAUCAGGAGCAGUGGCUUUCAAUGCUUGGUUCACAGAGAGGACUCAGCUUGAGGAGGUCACUCGUUCAUAGCCGCUCCUCCCAUUAUAUUUUUCCCCCUAUUGCAGAACUGCUGUAUGUAUACAGUGACUGAAAGGACUCAAUUUACUGCAACUGCUGCCUGGCUUUACUUACAACUUUUUAUAUAUAUAUAUAAAGGAACUUACCUCGUCUGUCUUUUCAAGCAGAAAUACAGUAAUCAAUCCAGGCAGUUAUUUCUUCAGAUCCUCAGGUUUUAA
rnacentral:lncRNA from 1 species